AUCUACAGUCAUAUCACCCUGCAGAAGCUAAGCAGGGCUGAGCCUGGUCAGUACCUGGAUGGUAGACAACAUGAAAACUAGGUUGCUGUUGGAA
rnacentral:rRNA from 1 species